rnacentral:rRNA from 1 species
GACGAACGCUGGCGGCGUGCCUAAUACAUGCAAGUUGAGCGCUGAAGGUUGGUGCUUGUCCCAACUGGAUGAGCAGCGAACGGGUGAGUAACGCGUGGGGAAUCUGCCUUUGAGCGGGGGACAACAUUUGGAAACGAAUGCUAAUACCGCAUAAAAACUUUAAACACAAGUUUUAAGUUUGAAAGAUGCAAUUGCAUCACUCAAAGAUGAUCCCGCGUUGUAUUAGCUAGUUGGUGAGGGAAAGGCUCACCAAGGCGAUGAUACAUAGCCGACCUGAGAGGGUGAUCGGCCACAUUGGGACUGAGACACGGCCCAAAAUCCUACGGGAAGCAGCAGUAGGGAAUCUUCGGCAAUGGACGAAAGUCUGACCGAGCAACGCCGCGUGAGUGAAGGAGGUUUUCGGAUCGUAAAACUCUGUUGGUAGAGAAGAACGUUGGUGAGAGUGGAAAGCUCAUCAAGUGACGGUAACUACCCAGAAAGGGACGGCUAACUACGUG